rnacentral:rRNA from 1 species
GAUGAACGCUGGCGGCGUGCCUAAUACAUGCAAGUCGAGCGAACGGACGAGAAGCUUGCUUCUCUGAUGUUAGCGGCGGACGGGUGAGUAACACGUGGAUAACCUACCUAUAAGACUGGGAUAACUUCGGGAAACCGGAGCUAAUACCGGAUAAUAUUUUGAGCCGCAUGGUUCAAAAGUGAAAGACGGUCUUGCUGUCACUUAUAGAUGGAUCCGCGCUGCAUUAGCUAGUUGGUAAGGUAACGGCUUACCAAGGCAACGAUGCAUAGCCGACCUGAGAGGGUGAUCGGCCACACUGGAACUGAGACACGGUCCAGACGCCUACGGGAGGCAGCAGUAGGGAAUCUUCCGCAAUGGGCGAAAGCCUGACGGAGCAACGCCGCGUGAGUGAUGAAGGUCUUCGGAUCGUAAAACGCUGUUAUUAGGGAAGAACAUAUGUGUAAGUAACUGUGCACAUCUUGACGGUACCUAAUCAGAAAGCCACGGCUAACUACGU